CACGUAGGGGCCAAGCGUUGUCCGGAUUCAUUGGGCGUAAAGAGCUCGUAGGCGGUUCAGUCAGUCGGGUGUGAAAUCUCCGGGCUCAACUCGGAGGGGCCACCCGAUACUGCUGUGACUCGAGUCCGGUAGGGGAGUGGGGAAUUCCUGGUGUAGCGGUGAAAUGCGCAGAUAUCAGGAGGAACACCGGUGGCGAAGGCGCCACUCUGGGCCGGUACUGACGCUGAGGAGCGAAAGCCAGGGGAGCAAACGGG
rnacentral:rRNA from 1 species